rnacentral:rRNA from 1 species
GACGAACGCUGGCGGCGCGCCUAAUACAUGCAAGUCGAGCGAGAAGACGUAGCAAUACGUUUGUAAAGCGGCGAACGGGUGAGGAAUACAUGGGUAACCUACCCUAGAGUGGGGAAUAACUAGCCGAAAGGUUAGCUAAUACCGCGUACGCUCCUUGGACUUCGGUUCAGGGAGGAAAGCGAUGCCGAGGGUAUCGCGCUCUUGGAUGGGCUCAUGUCCUAUCAGCUUGUUGGCGAGGUAACGGCUCACCAAGGCUUCGACGGGUAGCUGGUCUGAGAGGACGAUCAGCCACACUGGCAC